rnacentral:rRNA from 1 species
AUUGAACGCUGGCGGAAUGCUUUACACAUGCAAGUCGAGCGGCAGCACGGGGGUAACCCUGGUGGCGAGCGGCGAACGGGUGAGUAAUACAUCGGAACAUGCCCAGUCGUGGGGGAUAACACUUCGAAAGAAGUGCUAAUACCGCAUACGUCCUGAGGGAGAAAGCGGGGGAUCGCAAGACCUCGCGCGAUUGGAGUGGCCGAUGUCAGAUUAGCUAGUUGGUGGGGUAAAGGCCUACCAAGGCAACGAUCUGUAGCUGGUCUGAGAGGAUGAUCAGCCACACUGGAACUGAGACACGGCCCAGACUCCUACGGGAGGCAGCAGUGGGGAAUUUUGGACAAUGGGGGCAACCCUGAUCCAGCCAUUCCGCGUGAGUGAAGAAGGCCUUCGGGUUGUAAAGCUCUUUCGGCAAGAACGAAACGGUGAGCUCUAACAUAGCUUGCUAAUGACGGUACCUGAAGAAGAAGCACCGGCUAACUACGUG